rnacentral:rRNA from 1 species
AGCGAACGCUGGCGGCAGGCUUAACACAUGCAAGUCGAGCGGGCACUUUCGGGUGUCAGCGGCGGACGGGUGAGUAACGCGUGGGAACGUGCCCUCUGGUUCGGAAUAACUCAGGGAAACUUGAGCUAAUACCGGAUACGCCCUUUUGGGGAAAGGCUUGCUGCCGGAGGAUCGGCCCGCGUCUGAUUAGCUAGUUGGUGAGGUAACGGCUCACCAAGGCGACGAUCAGUAGCUGGUCUGAGAGGAUGAUCAGCCACACUGGGACUGAGACACGGCCCAGACACCUACGGGAGGCAGCAGUGGGGAAUAUUGGACAAUGGGCGCAAGCCUGAUCCAGCCAUGCCGCGUGAGUGAUGAAGGCCUUAGGGUUGUAAAGCUCUUUUAUCCGGGACGAUAAUGACGGUACCGGAGGAAUAAGCCCCGGCUAACUUCGUG